AAAAAUCUGUUUUUGAAUCACCGCCUCGAGGUGUUUGUAAGAUCAUAUUAUCCACAAACAUAGCAAAGAAUUCAGUUACUACAUCCAAUGUAAUUUAUGUUAUCAAUAACGGUCGGAUGAAGUUAAAAGGAUUCGAUGCAAAAAAUAACAUUGGAACUCUUAAUAAAGAAUGGGUAAGCUUAGCUAAUUCUAGACAACGUCGGGGUCGAGCAGGUUGUGUAAGGCCAGGUAUUUGUUAUCAUUUGUAUACAAGAUGACGUGAAAAAUCAUUUAAUGAUUAUGUACUGCCUGAGAUGAUGCGAACAAGCUUAAAAGUAGUAAUACUUCAAGUUAAAAUAUUACAAGUUGGUAUGGUAACCCCGUUCUUGGAGUAAGUUAUGAAUCCACCAGAAACCAAAGCCCUUGAAGUAGCUUUAAAAGUAUAUUAUGGGUUUAUUUUACAUAAGUAGAUGUGCUAUACUAUUAAUUUAUUUUAUAGCUAUUGAUAGACUUGAAUGCUUUGGACGAAAAAGAAAAUCUCACUCCAUUAGGUUUUAAUUUGGCAAAAUUGGAUAUUGUAUUUGAUGUAUUAAGGUUAAAUAACCUCAAACCUAAUGAAUGAUAAUUUUUGGAGGAACACUGCAAGUUGUUGGAACCAUUAACAAGUUCGUUGGAUAAAUUACAAGGAGAAAAAAUAGUUACCUAGGUUACGUAGCUCUUACAUUAAUAGUCUUGAGAAAAUUGUUAAUCCAGUCAAGUAAUGUAAAAUACUGCAAACCGUUAGUUUCAGCAUUAAUAAUUUCUCUAGAAAAAAGGUUUAACUACAUUUAUGAUUUAAGUAAUACAAAAAGCAAGGAUUAUAUUAUUGCCUCGAUAAGCCAUUCGAAGUUUAAAAUGAAAUGGGUUCCUAUCAGAUAUAUAAGCUUAUGUAAAACAUUAUUUUUAAAUGAAUGCAAUACAUAUUAUACAGAUGAAAAUUCUGUACCUGGAUCUUCAUCUGAUAAUGAGAGAGCGAUUCAGCAGAAAAUGAUACAAGUGUUUCAAAUACAGCUGCUGUUUAAGCAUUGACAUACCUUAACUCAAAGAAGAAAGAACUAAUAUCACUUAAUGCGGUUAAGCAAAUAUUUCUUAAAUAUAACAAAACCUUACAAUCCUCAGCUCCGGUUGAAAGACUGUUUAGCAAAGCAGUUCAAGUUUUAACUCCCAGACGUAUUCGUCUUAGUGAUGAUGUGUUUGAAAUGCUUUUAUGCUGUAAAUCUAAUGAGUAAUGAAUGAUUGUUUUUUAUCAAUUGUAUAACAACAUUUAUUUAUCUUUGUAAUUAGUAAAUAAUUUUCAAAAAUUAGUUAUUUAAACUUGAAUUAAUGUUAUUUUA